rnacentral:lncRNA from 1 species
UCCAAGUCACAAUUUAUAAAAGACAAUCCUACAGUUAUCAGGAUAGUCAUAUAUGUUUAUGUCAGAUAUACAUGUAAACAGUAAGCUUAAUUUGUUAAAAAGCAGGAGCAAAUUGUUGCUUUUUAAAUUAUGAGAGUCAAAUUUAAUUUUUUUUGUAAUUUUGAUUGCUACAUGUACAUAUACAAUGUACCUAUAUUUUACAUGACCUUAUGACAUACGAAAGACACAUAUAUUUUAAAGUGGUUAUUGCAUAUAUUUAUUUAAAAAAAAUAAAACUUGUAUAUCAAAUCUUAGAUAAUUGUAUUGUUAAUCCACUAUUUAGAUGGGUUCUUUUGGGACGGCAAUACCUUUGUUUCAUAAAUUUGUUGUUUAUUGUCCUCUAUCAUGUUCAUGUCCUUAGAAACAAAAUCUAGACAUGAUAUACACAAUGGCGGAUCCAGAAAUUUUCAUAAGUGGGGGCCCACUGACUGACCUAUGAGGGGCCCUGCUCCAGUCAUGCUUCAAUGAUUCCCUAUAUAAGCAACCAAAUUUUUUUCCCAAAAAGCCCCCUCCCCCCUAAAUCCGCCUCUGAUACAUGAUACAAGGAUUUCAAACUUUUAACAUUUAGUACAAAACUGAAAAAAAAUAGCUUAUUUUGAGAUCUUGUCAUUAGUAUUUACAGAUACAUUUGUACAUUUGUACAUGUACAUGUAUGAUCAUGGUGAGCAUAUAAGGUUAGUUUGACUCAAAUAUAUCAAGUAAACUUGUAAAGUAAUAAGUAAAUCACAAUUUACCUUUCUGUUCUAAAUUGUUCAUUUAGAUCAUUUUGUACAUUAACCUGUCCAUUUAAAAAUAGAAUUAAUCAUACAAAAAAGUCUUGUAACUUUGAAAGGUUGAAUAAGUUUUCUAUGUUUUAAUAUGGUAAGAUGUUAAGAGAUCAUUAUAUAUUUUCCACAGGUUCUUAGGAUAAUAAAAUAACUAAUUUGAUAUUAAAUACAAUUUUUCCAAAUUCAAUUCAAAGAAUAAUUGAUCACCUGAUAAGCUGUUAUUUCUUUAAACAGAUAAAAGAUACAUCAGCUGACAGACUUACAUGUAGAGGAGCCUUUAAUUAGAGAAAUGGAUCAACUUGAUUUUGAAGUUAACCUACUGCAUUUAUAUGAAAAAUUCAGAAGUGAGUACCAGUAUCUCUUAAAGUACAUUUUUUACAUGUUUAUCUUCAUUUAGAUAGAGUACCAUAUAAGAUAAAGUAUGUGGAAUCUUAAAUCCAGUAUAUAUACUAGACAUUAUACAUCAGUACAUACAUACAUGUACAUAAUGCAAAUCAUAAUAAGAAGGCAUAACAAUUGAACUGUUAAACAAUUAUUAGAUGACCCGUGUCACCUUAAUUUAAAGAAAAAAUUAAAAACACAGGUAACACACAGACAAAAAUUAAUGAGACCAUGUACUCCAGAUAUGCAAGAAGGGUUUUAAUCUCCCACUACAAAUGAAUAUGAAGUCCUGAAUGUGAAAUCCUCUAAAAAAAUUAUAUUAAACUUCAAAUAUGUGUACUUGAAUACAUGUAUAUAUAAUAUUCAAAUUCAUCUUAUUUAAUAUAAUUAAUUUAAAACAUUUUCAAGCAAAAAACUGAUGUAUAAAUGUAUAGCUUAACUGUUCCUUUAUUUUUUUUUCAGGUGACUGAGCUAAAAGAAAAACACACAUGAAAAUGUAACCAGUUUGGCACCAUCAAAGUGACCAACA